rnacentral:tRNA from 1 species
GAGGUUAUAGCUUAGUGGUAGAGUGUGGUGCCUAGCAAGCACAAGGUCCUGGGUUCAAUUCCCAAUACCUCCA